UGGGGAAUAUUGGACAAUGGGGGCAACCCUGAUCCAGCAAUGCCGCGUGUGUGAAGAAGGCCUGAGGGUUGUAAAGCACUUUCAGUGGGGAGGAGGGGUUCUAGGUUAAGAGCUAGGAAUUUGGACGUUACCCACAGAAGAAGCACCGGCUAACUCCGUGCCAGCAGCCGCGGUAAUACGGAGGGUGCGAGCGUUAAUCGGAAUUACUGGGCGUAAAGAGUGCGUAGGUGGUUGGAUAAGUUAUCUGUGAAAUCCCUGGGCUUAACCUGGGCAGGUCAGAUGAUACUGUUUAACUCGAGUAUGGGAGAGGGUAGUGGAAUUUCCGGUGUAGCGGUGAAAUGCGUAGAGAUCGGAAGGAACACCAGUGGCGAAGGCGGCUACCUGGCCUAAUACUGACACUGAGGCACGAAAGCGUGGGGAGCAAACAGG
rnacentral:rRNA from 1 species